AGACAGUUAUUAGGGAAAUUCUGGCCUGGAACAGCUUAUAAAGCUUGGCAUUCUCCAUCGUUUGAAAUAAAUUUUCCACAUUGUUUUUUUUUUUUUUUUUCCUUUUCUUUAGCUUCUUAUAAAAAACAUGACUCUGUGGAGACUUUCAAGGAGGAACAACCAGAUUUCAUCACAUUAUUUUCCAGCUGAAUGUGAAGGCAAAGGGUAGCCUAGAAGCUUCUGGCCGAGGAUGAAAAAACCCCUGUCAAUCUGCUUUCCUGAAGGAUCAGCCAGCUGUAUCCUGGUCUCAUAAAGGAAAGGGUGACAAAGGAGAGUGUAUUAUGGAUUCUAAAUUCCUUCAAGCAAACACAGUAGGACUCUGAAGGAUUUGUGGACUUUCAAAGUGGAAUUGGGCCCCAGGAACACAGGAUUUUAAAACCCCAGAGGGGAUGCAGAGAUUUAACUCAACAUUGGAUUUUAUUGAUCAGAAUUACUUAAAAAAAAGUAUAGUGGAAAUUUAUGGAGUUUGCAGAUUUGAAACUGAAAAUGCAGGUAGGAGAAUAAUAGAAUAUUCUUUUUAAAAAUA
rnacentral:lncRNA from 12 species